CCUACGGGAGGCAGCAGUGAGGAAUAUUGGUCAAUGGGAGAGAUCCUGAACCAGCCAAGCCGCGUGAGGGAAGACUGUCCUAUGGAUUGUAAACCUCUUUUGUCGGGGAGCAAAAGACGCCACGCGUGGCGUUCCGAGAGUACCCGAAGAAAAAGCAUCGGCUAACUCCGUGCCAGCAGCCGCGGUAAUCCGGAGGAUGCGAGCGUUAUCCGGAUUUAUUGGGUUUAAAGGGUGCGCAGGCGGAAGAUCAAGUCAUCGGUAAAAUUUAGAGGCUCAACCUCUUCGAGCCGUUGUUACUGGCUUUCUUGAGUGAGUGAGAAGUAGGCGGAAUGCGUGGUGUAGCGGUGAAAUGCAUAGAUAGCACGAAGAACUCCGAUUGCGAAGGCAGCAGACCGGCGCUCAACUGACGCUCAUGCACGAAAGUGUGGGUAUCGAACAGGAUUAGAUACCCUUGUAGUC
rnacentral:rRNA from 1 species